rnacentral:rRNA from 1 species
GACAGAGGGUGCAAACGUUGUUCGGAAUUACUGGGCGUAAAGCGCGUGUAGGCGGUUUUGUAAGUCGGGUGUGAAAGCCCGGGGCUCAACCCCGGAAGUGCACUCGAAACUGCAGAACUGGAGUCUCGGAGAGGAAAGCGGAAUUCUGGGUGUAGAGGUGAAAUUCGUAGAUAUCCAGAGGAACACCGGUGGCGAAGGCGGCUUUCUGGACGAGUACUGACGCUGAGACGCGAAAGCGUGGGGAGCAAACAGG